rnacentral:lncRNA from 1 species
CCUGGGACAAGCCGAGGCAGAAGUGAUUUGAUUGGUCGUUGGAAAUAGAGUGAAAUAUGAAAAGUUUAUUCAUCAAGUGGAUGUUUAUAUUCGGCAAUAUGGCUGCCUUCAAGGAGUGCGCGUUCGAAAUACGAACAAAUACAAACGUAAACUGCUUGUUUUCUAUGGAUUAAUGGAGAUAAUUUGCAAACCGAGUGAAAAAUAACAAAAUGGACAAUUAUAAAGUAGAAGUAAGCAACAAUAUCGAAGAAACGUCAAUUAUGAAGCCAUUAAAAAGUUUCUUCAUUUUAACAUUUUCUUGUUAUAAAGUUGUCUAUUAUUAAAACAUUGUGCUCAAGUAUAAUUGUAAAAUUUUAAGCACACUGUAAAUAUAAAAUGUUUAAUAAUAUAUAUUUACGAUGGUAAAGUUUUAAUGGUGUAAUAUAUUGUGUUUUAUUAAUUAUUAUGCUUUUGGUAUUGAUCACUUGGCCUAUUUAAUACCAGCCUAUAUUAAAAUGGCCAAUUGGAAUUUAUAAAUAUAGCAUAUAGAAUAUUAUAGGUGUAUUUUACUAUUUCUGAAUUUUCUCAGUUGUAUUAUUAGUGAGUAAUUUUAAUAGCUUUUAAAUACAGUGAAUAAGCUUAUAAGCAUAUUCAAUUGCACCAUGCAGUCAUUUGAAUCCCUGCACCUUUGGCAUACCAGAGGGGAAUGCAAGGACAAUCGCCUCUUAUUCACUGGUUUAUCAUUUCUUGGCAAACAGGGAAGACACUUACUUUCAGUGUCCAAGUCGAGGAAUGAAUGAGGUCA